UUAAGAGGCUCUAAUAGGCUUCAAAAAAGGGUGGUCUCGGGAGUAAGUCCGGCUAAUUCCACAAAUCCCAGAAUUAGGGAAACGUAGGCAAGCAACUGCCCUUCAAAUGAAUACCCUGGUUGCAUAUGAAAUAUUGUAUUCCUCCUCUUCAAUAAAUCAGCACAUGAUGCAGCCACUACAUUUUGUGUUGUAGCUCCUAGUUACUUGAACAGAGCUUGCCAUUCAGAAAUUCCAAAUUUUGGAGGUUCAUGUUUUCAAAAAGUUUGGCUGAGCCACAAACUUUAAUUUGUUUCUUUGGUCUCUAGUUAUGAACACAAAUGGUUGCAUAAGGACUUCUGUAGUAUCUCUUAGUAAAUUAAAUGUUUGAAGAAUUGGGGAGCUAGGUGGACUUCAGUGAAUGGCCUUGGCUUACUACAACGUAGGUGGCACAAAAACUGGAUGAAGUAGGGUUACAGAGCAGAGUGGAACUGCACUUGGGCAAUAAUAUUGACAACUUUUUAACUGUUUUUCAUGUUUACCAACAGGGAGAUCGUGGUUUUCAAGGUCUAGAGGGACCAAGCGGCACCAAAGGAGUGCCAGGAGACAAAGGAGAGAGGGGUGCUCAAGGUUUUGGCAGUCCUGGUCAGCCAGGAGCGAAGGGUGAAGCAGGGGAGAGGGGUAUUAUGGGUCUCGUUGGAAGGGCAGGUGCAAAGGUAUGUCCACUUGUGUUUAUUUAAUAAAUUAUUUAUUAUCAUCACCCACUUUCCCGCACCUAAAAACCUCUGCACCUCCCCGAUUUAUUACUACUGCGGACCUCACCCAUUGGAGCGAUGACCACUUGCUAUGCUGCUCCCUGGAAUAAUGACUCUCACUCUAACCACCCAAUCAGUAAGGAGCACCCACCGCUGAACAUAUGACCCCUCUUUGUAUCACACAUCUAUGUGCAUAGUUGUUCGUAAUCAGGGCCGUCUUUAAUGUUGAUUGGACCCUGG